CAGUCGCCGCGGUAACACGAAGGGUGCAAGCGUUACUCGGAAUUACUGGGCGUAAAGCGUGCGUAGGUGGUGGUUUAAGUCCGUUGUGAAAGCCCUGGGCUCAACCUGGGAAUUGCAGUGGAUACUGGGUCACUAGAGUGUGGUAGAGGAUAGUGGAAUUUCCGGUGUAGCAGUGAAAUGCGUAGAGAUCGGAAGGAACAUCUGUGGCGAAGGCGACUAUCUGGGCCAACACUGACACUGAGGCACGAAAGCGUGGGGAGCAAACAGGAUUAGAUACCCCUGUAGUCCCUGUCUCUUAUAC
rnacentral:rRNA from 1 species